UUCGGGCCUCAUGCCAUCAGAUGUGCCCAGAUGGGAUUAGCUAGUAGGUGGGGUAACGGCUCACCUAGGCGACGAUCCCUAGCUGGUCUGAGAGGAUGACCAGCCACACUGGAACUGAGACACGGUCCAGACUCCUACGGGAGGCAGCAGUGGGGAAUAUUGCACAAUGGGCGCAAGCCUGAUGCAGCCAUGCCGCGUGUGUGAAGAAGGCCUUCGGGUUGUAAAGCACUUUCAGCGGGGAGGAAGGCGAUAAGGUUAAUAACCUUGUCGAUUGACGUUACCCGCAGAAGAAGCACCGGCUAACUCCGUGCCAGCAGCCGCGGUAAUACGGAGGGUGCAAGCGUUAAUCGGAAUUACUGGGCGUAAAGCGCACGCAGGCGGUCUGUCAAGUCGGAUGUGAAAUCCCCGGGCUCAACCUGGGAACUGCAUUCGAAACUGGCAGGCUAGAGUCUUGUAGAGGGGGGUAGAAUUCCAGGUGUAGCGGUGAAAUGCGUAGAGAUC
rnacentral:rRNA from 1 species